UGAGGAACAUGACCUUCGGCGGGGGAGUAGCCGGCCCAACGGCCGGGUAAUACCGCGUACGACCACUUUGGGACAUCCCUGAGUGGUGAAAGCAGCAAUGCGCCGAUGGAGUGCCUCGCGGCCUAUCAGCUAGUUGGUGAGGUAACGGCUCACCAAGGCAACGACGGGUAGCUGGUCUGAGAGGAUGGCCAGCCACAUUGGGACUGAGACACGGCCCAGACUCCGUAGGGACGG
rnacentral:rRNA from 1 species